CUCGGUGAUGAAAUCCUGGAAUAGGAAGUUCUGUCGUAUGUGAGAACUGAUGAUUUUUUUGUAUCCACUUUUCUGAGU